AACGAACGCUGGCGGCAUGCUUAACACAUGCAAGUCGAACGAGUCCGGGGGCUUGCUCUCGGGCUAGUGGCGAACGGGUGAGUAACGCGUGGGAACCUGCCUUGGAGUGGGGGAUAACCACUGGAAACGGUGGCUAAUACCGCAUGUGGCCCGAGGGCCAAAGCCUUGGAUUUCGGUCCGGGGCGCUUCGAGAGGGGCCCGCGUCCGAUUAGCUUGUUGGUGGGGUAACGGCCUACCAAGGCGUCGAUCGGUAGCUGGUCUGAGAGGAUGAUCAGCCACACUGGGACUGCGACACGGCCCAGACUCCUACGGGAGGCAGCAGUGGGGAAUAUUGGACAAUGGCGCAAGCCUGAUCCAGCAAUGCCGCGUGCGUGAUGAAGGCCUCGGUUGUAAG
rnacentral:rRNA from 1 species